rnacentral:lncRNA from 1 species
AAUAGCCAGGUACGUGGAAUCAUUAACUUCCAUUGCUGAUAGUCAUGAUGAAAAACCUCUGUGCCUGUAUCCUACAUUAAACCAUUGAGUCCCCUGUUUGAUUGGACAAUUUGUGGCAACAGUCAAAUUUAUUAUACAAAAUUUCUGAUCAUCAUGUUCCAAAUAAUAUUAUACUAUAUUGGAAAAUCUUCCAUUAUUUUUCUUCAUCUACUUUGUUUCAAACAUAGUUUACAAGUUGUUUAGUUCUAAAGAGAUCAAUGAAUCUCCUACAUUUGUUGAGUAUUAAUUUUGUGGAGACUGUGAAUUCACAAUAAGAUUGCAAAGCUCAAUGCUUAGGUGCUACACAAAUUCCUUCAACACUGUAAGUACCUACUAGUCUCCCAUUAGAAUUUGUUUAUGGGUGGUAUUCUCACUAAUUAUUAAUUACAUAAACCCAUAUGAAUGAUCAUAGUUUUUUCAUGUUUCUAAUUUGACAUUCUAUAUUAUUUUUAAAUUAUUCCAUCUCUUUAUUACCAUAUGCGGUAGUAUUUGGAAUUGUGUGGUUAUUGCAUUUUAACCAGCAAAAUUGCAUUUUUAAAUUAUCCCUGAAUUUUCAUAUUGCGGAAAAAUAUUAUUAUUAUAAUUUAUUCCUUUUGGAUGCUUCAUGUCAUAUCAUAUCAUAUAGAUAAAUUUAAUUAUGAUUCUUGGAAUUUUCCAAAAGAUAUUUGGUUCGUUAAAAUUAAGGCUGUUUUAAGCACCAUAUUUUAUACGAUGUAUGAUACUCAAAAUGAAAUCCGACACUUUCUUUUAGGAAAAAAGUAUAUGAUGUCAUUUUUGGCCAUAUAAAUAUUUCUAAGAGGCAAAUUUAAUGUGUGGUUAUAACAUUUCUUAGGUUUUAAAUACAUACAUACAUACAUAUAUAUAAAAUUGAAAGAUGGGAUUAUUUUUACACUUGACUCUUGAGAACUGAUUGGCUUCACAUUAUUCUAUUUGGUGAAUGAUAGUAUAAUUAUCUUUAAAAGUUACAUGUCUUGAUAUAUUUUGAAAUAUUAAAUAAAGAAAAGUUACAUUUUAAAUACAUUGACAUAAUUCUUCAAAGGCGUGUGUGAUUUUAAGUAGCAGGAUACUUUUAUCAAAUAUGAAUCUGAUGAAGUUGAAUUUCACUCAAAUCUCUUUCAAAGUCUUCUUACUUAUAGAACAAAAUUUGGCAAAUAAAAAAAGAACAUGUACUUAGUAGCACUUGUUUUCUUUACACAUUCCUUACAAGUUACAACCAAUUUCACCACCAUGCAUAUUUGAGAAUUUAAUUGUCUGAGGUUAUAAAUGUAAUGAUUGAAUGGAGAAUUGGUCCUACCUUGCUGUCCAUUUCACUCAUUUCUUUCACAUUUAACAAAUUGAUAUGAUCUCUUGACAUUUUUGAUUUAUGCUCUAGUUUGCAAAUGUGAUUACUCUUUAGCAUUAUGACCAAUAUUUUGCAAAUGUGUUUAAAGAAGAAUUUGUUAAUAUAAUGGCUGAUAGAACUAAGAAAUUGUGGGGUUGAUAAACAUGUGCAUCAAUGUUCUCCUCAUAAUGUUUGAUCCUAUUCAAAGAGAUAAAUUGUAAGAUCAUAUAUUUACUCUAUUCAAGCUGGAUCUUUUUGAAAUACAGGAGUAUUAAAAAAAAUUCAGAUGCAUGUACUUUAUACAUGAUUAUUCAUAUUAUCAUGAGAUUGACGUUGCAAGCAAAGUGUUUAUAUUGAAUCUAAAGAUUGUAGGCGAAAUACAUGAGUUGAAUGUAUGUAUCUGCUCAAACAUAUUGCUAAAAAUCAAUAUUAAAGAAUUCGUAUGUUUAUCCUGCUAAAUUUAGAUAUGUGAUAUCGAUAUUUUAGUAUAUUUUGCAGAUGUGCAGGUGAAGAAGAAAAGCAUUGCAAAUUGAUGAUCCCAAAUUAUUGUCCAAAAGGGAUAUGAAAUAAAUUAUAGUUCAUAAUGAACAUAAUAGAUCAUCAAGCGGGAUGGGUUUAAGUCCAUAGGGGAGUCACCUCCAAGAGUAAUCCAACCUCUGUGAUUGAAGAUCUUAUGAAGAAGAUUCAAUGUGGUAGAAACAACUCGUACUACGUGACUUGUAUUAACACUAUUUUAUUUGUGCUCAUCUCUAUGAUGAUAGUGCUAAUAAUAUUGUGAUGUUAGGAAGGAUUUAACCGUGAAUGAAUACCGAUGCAAGAAUUCUCAUGAGGUGCAAGUUCACACCUUUGGAGGACUCAUUUAUGUAAGAGUUGUCAUGAGGUUGUGACAAUGAGAUUGAGAUAUUCUCUAGAGACUCUUACUAGAAUCAAGAUUAGAG